GGCAAACAUUAUUCUGAAUUAAAACAUACAGACAAGUGGUGAAUCACCAAAUCACACAUCCAAAUAAAUCAAGGUCGCGUACAUCAUCCCCGGAUGGCCGGAAAAUAUUCUGCCAUGUCACGAUGGCCUACCACACGUAGAACUAGAGAGGUGAAGAGAAGAGACCACGAGUGCCUUACUGAACCAUCAACAUUGGAGUCGAGGUAGCCAAGGCGAUGAAGCACGGUCAAGCCCAGAUGGUAGCCGCGCGUCCGGAUCUGCGUUGGAGACCUGUGGUGAUGUUGCGGAGGCGGAGGAUCCAAGGUGAGCAGUGAUGGGAGCCGGGCCGGUGAGCUGGGGCGCGAUGGGCGUCGCCGCAGUGGAGAAUCGAAGAAGAGCAGGGGCACGCGCGGUGAGGGGGGAUCACUGAAUCGGAGCGUGGCCGGUGAGUAAAAGCGUCGGAGGUUUCCGUCAUCAGAGGCAGCGGCAGCCCUGUCGUAUAGUUCGGGUGAGAGAGGAAUCAGGGGGUGAUUGGAUACGAGAUAUUUGUAUAGGCCCGGGGAGGUAGCUAGAUAUGGGGAGGUUAGCUAUUCGUGGGAGGUGGGUGGUUGACCCAAACAACACAUAUUAUCAAAUCGUUGGAAAGGAUAGGUUGGUGUAUGGGGGGUUUUGUUG
rnacentral:lncRNA from 1 species